rnacentral:rRNA from 1 species
UACGUAGGGUGCGAGCGUUGUCCGGAUUUAUUGGGCGUAAAGGGCUCGUAGGCGGCGUGUCGCGUCGGGAGUGAAAGCCCGUUGCUUAACGGCGGGUUGGCUUUCGGUACGGGCAUGCUGGAGUGCGGUAGGGGAGACUGGAAUUCCUGGUGUAGCGGUGAAAUGCGCAGAUAUCAGGAGGAACACCGGUGGCGAAGGCGGGUCUCUGGGCCGAUAUUGACGCUGAGGAGCGAAAGCGUGGGGAGCGAACAGG